GAAUCCAUGAUGACCGGUGGCGUCUCCAGAUCCGGAGCCUUCUCCAACGACCGCCAUCAACUACUCCAAUCGCCCCAAAGACCUCCUUUUCCUGCCUCUCAUCCCCGUGAACUAAGCUGGACCCAUUAUCGCCUCCACAUUGGCAGCUCAAGGAAGUCUGCAAUGGCAUGCUGAAAUGGUGGUAGAAAACCUAACUUUUGCCGUCUUCCAUUGAAGGUUCCUCUUUCUCUCUGCCGCCGAGAACUCUGAUCUCCAAGUUCGACCCAUCAUCGCCUCCACAUUGGCCGCUCAGGGGAGUUUGCAAUGGAACAAUGAAAUGGUGGUGGAAACCCUAUGGUUUGCCAUCUUCCAUUCAAGGAAAAGUAGUCAAGACGGUUGAAUGGCAUAGUUCAUUAAGGUGGCAAACUGAGCACGGCUUAUAUCUUCUAUUGGCUCUUCUACACAGUUGCUUCCUUUGUAUAAAUUGAUUUUAUCUAAUUUUUGGUUUUGCAGUUUUAUUAUAUAGAUCCAUUGGUAGUCAUUUUUCUGAAUGAGGUCUGUACCAGUAGUUCUAGUUUAUUGUUUCUAAAGUUACUUUUAGCAGAGAGGAAAUUUACAGAUUAUGAGAAUUAAGAGGCUGCAAAGUUUUUCAUGUUUGUUGUUCUUUUCAUGUGCUUCUGUUCUGUGGAUCAAGUGUUGAGCCAUAAACUAGGAUGACAAGGCAAGCAGCAAUGUUUCAGCAACUUACUACUAAGAGGUCUCAUGAUAGAGAUUUUUCUUGUGAUGGAAGUGGUAUGACAUUAAUGAGUGCCUCAUCAUGCAUUAAAGUUUGAUCCAUCAAAGUUCAAGAGAAUGUUGCGCAACCACCGAACAACCUGAUGUCAACCCUCUGUAACUCUACUGGUGAUGAUUUAUGCAAGAGAACCAGAUAUCAGUUGGAGAAAAGAAUAGAUAUCCUUGUGAUUAUAUUGUGUGUGUGUGUGAGUGUGUGUGUGUGUGUGAGAGAGAGAGAGAGAGAGAGAGGCCUAUGACCACCUUCCUCAGGAAAUAUUAAUUGGUUGGGCCUUAUUUUGGAGAAAUUUUUCUGUAAUUGAUUGACUGUAUUUAAUGCUAGUUAACUGUGUUUGAUUGGAA